UGUUGCUAAGUAAACUACUUGUUUAUUUUAGUACAUGGUAUAGGUUGGUUAUACAACUCUGUGUCAGUAUCUAUGGCCUUAUCAUACUUCUGCCUGGCCCUUGUUAUGAUGAAUGCCAUAGAUACCUCCACCUCCUUGUAUAACCUUUACUUAUUCAUUACUAAAGUUUCCCAAACUUUGGAAGAGGUAUCUAAAUAAUUUCCCGAAGGCUUCUAAAUAAUGUCCCGGGGUAUUAUAAGUGAUUUAGACACCUCGUAUAAUGCAAUCUGAUUGGUCAAUUUAAAACAAGCAUGGUAGAAAUACGUAUACUGUUAUAGGCUAUAAUAUUUUUGCUUAUAUAUAAUAUCUACAUAUAUGCUUUAUCUAUGGAUGUCCGCGGGCCACCCGGUUCUCAUGUAUUAACCAGCCAGUUGUCCGGAAAUAGGUUGAGUAUUCCUGGAAUUUGUCUAAGCUAUUGUGGAGGCUUGUUAUCAAUAGAAAAAGUAGGCAGUGCGAAUGGUUAUUAAGGCAUGCAAAUAUAUCUGCUGCAACAAGCUCCUGAUGUAGUGACACUCACACAGCUCAGAGGCAGGCUCCUGUCAUCAUCUUUGCAUUAGGCAGCUCAGUCAUAGGUCUCUCACAUGUCUUCUCUCUUUCUUGUGUUAACACAGUUUUAGUAUCAUACAUUGGUAUAUCACAGACAUUGUCAUUUGCUGCAGUGUGGGAACAGGAAUGUAAUAAAUGCUAAGCAAAUUGUAACAGUGGGACACAAUGUACAAUAUAGUGCUCUUGUGUACAGUGCAUGUACUGAGACUGAGAGGGAGUAUAGUGUCUUAUUGAAUCCAUGUACAUUUAAUUAUUUAGGAUAUGUCCAACAAAGUAAAAUUAGUGCUGUGUUGCAUUGGCUGAAGCAUAAUGAUGUGCCUCAAUCUUGCAAUGUACCUCUAUCUUGCAAUGGACCAAGGUACUACUGAUGUCAUCACAUAAUGGGUCUUACAUAAUCUCCUGUGCUAUGUUUCUUUCUGAGGCUUUAGGACAAAGGCGUCAAGACGACAACAAGACUAAAAACUUAUUUAUUAAAUUAUUUUUUUGUGUAAUUAUUAUUGUUCGAAUGAAAUAUUUGACACUGUGCA